rnacentral:rRNA from 1 species
GACGAACGCUGGCGGCGUGCCUAAUACAUGCAAGUAGAACGCUGAAGAGAGGAGCUUGCUCUUCUUGGAUGAGUUGCGAACGGGUGAGUAACGCGUAGGUAACCUGCCUUGUAGCGGGGGAUAACUAUUGGAAACGAUAGCUAAUACCGCAUAACAAUGGAUGACACAUGUCAUUUAUUUGAAAGGGGCAAUUGCUCCACUACAAGAUGGACCUGCGUUGUAUUAGCUAGUAGGUGAGGUAAUGGCUCACCUAGGCGACGAUACAUAGCCGACCUGAGAGGGUGAUCGGCCACACUGGGACUGAGACACGGCCCAGACUCCUACGGGAGGCAGCAGUAGGGAAUCUUCGGCAAUGGGGGCAACCCUGACCGAGCAACGCCGCGUGUGUGAAGAAGGUUUUCGGAUCGUAAAGCUCUGUUGUAAGUCAAGAACGGGUGUGAGAGUGGAAAGUUCACACUGUGACGGUAGCUUACCAGAAAGGGACGGCUAACUACGUG